UACGGAGGAUCCAAGCGUUAUCCGGAUUUAUUGGGUUUAAAGGGUGCGUAGGUGGCUUAUUAAGUCAGGGGUGAAAGACGGUAGCUUAACUAUCGCAGUGCCUUUGAUACUGAUGAGCUUGAAUGAACUAGAGGUAGGCGGAAUGUGACAAGUAGCGGUGAAAUGCAUAGAUAUGUCACAGAACACCAAUUGCGAAGGCAGCUUACUAUGGUUAAAUUGACACUGAGGCACGAAAGCGUGGGGAU
rnacentral:rRNA from 1 species